rnacentral:misc_RNA from 1 species
GUGAAUCAUCAAAUUUUUGAACGCAAAUUGCACUCUCCGGUUUUCCGGGAGAGUAUGCCUGUUUGAGGGUCAGCCUAAAAAAAAUCGACAUUGUUGCUGUUAUUUAAUGGUGACUUUCGUCGGAGAUUGGGUUAUCUUAAACCUUUUUUUUUUUUUGUUUAAAGCAAUUUAAAUUUUUUUUUAUUUUUCCCUUAACGUUUUUAAGAUUUUUUUUUUUUUAUAC